rnacentral:rRNA from 1 species
CCUACGGGUGGCUGCAGUGGGGAAUAUUGCGCAAUGGGCGAAAGCCUGACGCAGCGACGCCGCGUGAGGGAUGAAGGUCUUCGGAUCGUAAACCUCUGUCAGCAGGGAAGAACGGUCACUGUGCUAAUCAGCAGUGAAUUGACGGUACCUGCAAAGGAAGCACCGGCUAACUCCGUGCCAGCAGCCGCGGUAAUACGGAGGACCCGAGCGUUAUCCGGAUUUAUUGGGUUUAAAGGGUGCGUAGGCGGAUUUUUAAGUCAGCGGUAAAAUGUCCGGGCUCAACCCGGGCCGGCCGUUGAAACUGGGGAUCUUGAGUGGGCGAGAAGUAUGCGGAAUGCGUGGUGUAGCGGUGAAAUGCUUAGAUAUCACGAAGAACUCCGAUUGCGAAGGCAGCUUACUAAACUGCCACUGACAUUGAUGCUCGAAAGUGUGGGUAUCAAACAGGAUUAGAUACCCGGGUAGUC